rnacentral:rRNA from 1 species
UACGGAGGGGGCUAGCGUUGUUCGGAAUUACUGGGCGUAAAGCGCACGUAGGCGGCUUUGUAAGUUAGAGGUGAAAGCCCAGGGCUUAACCCUGGAAUUGCCUUUAAGACUGCAUCGCUAGAAUUGUGGAGAGGUAAGUGGAAUUCCGAGUGUAGAGGUGAAAUUCGUAGAUAUUGGGAAGAACACCGGUGGCGAAGGCGGCGACCUGGUCCUUGACUGACGCUGAGGCGCGAAAGCGUGGGGAGCAAACAGG